rnacentral:rRNA from 1 species
UACGAAGGGGGCAAGCGUUACUCGGAAUUAUUGGGCGUAAAGCGUGCGCAGGCGGUUUUAUAAGUUGGAAGUGAAAGCCUUUGGCUCAACCAAAGAAUUGCUUACAAAACUAUAAAACUAGAGUCUCAGAGAGGGCAGAGGAAUUCCUGAUGUAGGGGUGGAAUCCUUAGAUAUCAGGAGGAAUACCAAAGGCGAAAGCAUCUGUCUGGCUGAGUACUGACGCUGUUGCACGAAAGCGUGGGGAGCAAACAGG